GCUAGGAUGAACGCUAGCUACAGGCUUAACACAUGCAAGUCGAGGGGCAGCAUGAGAUUAGCUUGCUAAUCUUGAUGGCGACCGGCGCACGGGUGAGUAACGCGUAUCCAACCUUCCCCCUACUCAGGCAUAGCCCGGUGAAAACCGGAUUAACUCCUGAUAGUUUCACUAGAUGGCAUCUGACGGUGAAUAAAGCUCAGCGGUAAGGGAUGGGGAUGCGUCUGAUUAGCUUGUUGGCGGGGUAACGGCCCACCAAGGCGACGAUCAGUAGGGGUUCUGAGAGGAAGGUCCCCCACAUUGGAACUGAGACACGGCCCAAACUCCUACGGGAGGCAGCAGUGAGGAAUAUUGGUCAAUGGGCGCGAGCCUGAACCAGCCAAGUAGCGUGCAGGAAGACGGCCCUAUGGGUUGUAAACUGCUUUUGUGCGGGAAUAAAGUCAGGGACGUGUCCCUGUUUGCAUGUACCGCAAGAAUAAGGACCGGCUAAUUCCGUGCCAGCCGCCGC
rnacentral:rRNA from 1 species